CCUACGGGCGGCAGCAGUGAGGAAUAUUGGUCAAUGGACGAGAGUCUGAACCAGCCAAGUAGCGUGAAGGAUGACUGCCCUAUGGGUUGUAAACUUCUUUUAUAUGGGAAUAAAACGUUCCACGUGUGGGAUUUUGUAUGUACCAUAUGAAUAAGGAUCGGCUAACUCCGUGCCAGCAGCCGCGGUAAUACGGAGGAUCCGAGCGUUAUCCGGAUUUAUUGGGUUUAAAGGGAGCGUAGGUGGAUUGUUAAGUCAGUUGUGAAAGUUUGCGGCUCAACCGUAAAAUUGCAGUUGAAACUGGCAGUCUUGAGUACAGUAGAGGUGGGCGGAAUUCGUGGUGUAGCGGUGAAAUGCUUAGAUAUCACGAAGAACACCGAUUGCGAAGGCAGUUCACUGGACUGCAACUGACACUGAGGCUCGAAAGUGUGGGUAUCAAACAGGAUUAGAUACCCUUGUAGUC
rnacentral:rRNA from 1 species